rnacentral:rRNA from 1 species
ACGGACUCAUGCGGUCUGCCUCACGGCAAGUACUGUGUGGGUUCGUGUUCCUUGGUGGUGAGCCUUGAUGCUCUUAACUGGGUGUCUUGGUGAACCACCUCUGUUACCUUGAGAAAAUUAGAGUGCUCAAAGCAGGCUAGUGCCUGAAUACAUUAGCAUGGAAUAAUAAAAUAGGACGGCAUGGUUCUAUUUUGUUGGUUUCUAGGAUUGACGUA